rnacentral:lncRNA from 1 species
CCCUCCCUCCCUCUCUCUCUCUCUCUCUCUCUCUCUCUCUCUCUCUCUCUCGCUGAGAGUUUUAGCUGUGCAUAUCCUGGGGGGGCAUCUGUUCCCCAAAGUUAGACUAAGUGAAGGCCACCCUGGAUUUCUCCCCUUUCUUCUCCAGAGUGACAAGGGCCAGUUCAGACUGAACAAAAUUCCAAGCUAGAAAUUUCCCACCAGUCUGCGUGUGAUCCAGUCCCAGCCAAUGAGGCCCAUGUCACCCGAAGAGACCUGUCUCCCUAGGUUUGCCACUGUCCACCCUAGCCGGCCCUGAGCUUUCCUAAGUGGAGCUCUCAGGGGCUCUGGGGGCAACUAGCAAGGCUGCUUGAGCACGUGCAUUCCCUGUUGCCCUUCUGUCUUUUGUCUGGAAGAGGAAAGUUGUCUCCCAGAAGCAGCAGCAGCAGCAGCAGCUAGAACCCCACAGCUCAGGCCCCAAUGUGCUGGGGAUGCCACAGGGCCCAGGGCCCAGGGCCCAGGGGCACGGCUGGUCAAGCUGUGGUGGCUACCGAGUAUCUCUCAUACUGGGCAGAGAUGACCAUCUACCCCCCACCCACCAGCUGCGCCUACAGCAUCCCCAGAUCCCAAACCAGGUUGAGGCCUAGCAAGAAGGGAGAAGCCUGAGCAGUGGUCCUGAGCAUUUGCUGCCCCACUGGGAAAACCAGCCCUGGUUCUCAGAGUUCUGGCAUUUGGGCCUGGCUUCUUUCCAGGCUGGGAGGCCUGGGGCCUGGGGCCACUUGAAGAAUGCCAUGGGGGCAUGGGUGACACUGGCAUGGCACAGAAAGGGCUAGGGGGCUGGGAGGGAAGGAGCUGGGACGGUCCCCACCAGGGCACUGCCCCAAAGGGUGGAUGAUUGUUUGUGUCCAGCUCCAACCAGUUCAAGAAACCAACCUCCAUUUUCUUUUCUUGGUGGGUCCUUUUUUUUUUUUUUCAGACUGUUAACAGAAAAAAAAUUUAAAAAGCAGAAAACAAAACAAAAAUACAAAACAAAAAAAUCCUGGUACAUGAAAUAAAGAUUUUUUUUAUA